UUUAAGUGUAGUUGUGGAUUUUCGUAUCCAACGUUUAACCGUUUUAUUUUAAAAAAAGAUUAAUAUUUUUAUUGUUAUUAGAUGAUAAAACAUGAAUAGUACUUUAUGUAUGACUUUUUUUUCAAUUUUUUAUAAUUGUUUCAAAUAAGACGACGGUGAAACGUUGAACAUGGAAAUCAGUAACUACACUUAGG
rfam:Oryza sativa (indica cultivar-group) chromosome 7, whole genome shotgun sequence.